UACGUAGGGGGCAGCGUGUUCGGAUUCGAUUUGGAUGCGUAAAGAGCGUGUAGGCGGCCUAGUAGGUCAGCUGUGAAAACUCGAGGCUCAACCUCGAGACGUCGAUGGAAACCAUCUGGCUAGAGUCCGGAAGAGGAGAGUGGAAUUCCCGGUGUAGCGGUGAAAUGCGCAGAUAUCGGGAAGAACACCCGUGGCGAAGGCGGUUCUCUGGGACGGUACUGACGCUGAGACGCGAAAGCGUGGGGAGCGAACAGG
rnacentral:rRNA from 1 species